rnacentral:tRNA from 1 species
GGGCCCGUGGCCUAGUUUGGAUAGGGCGCCGGCCUCCGGAGCCGGAAGUCGCGGGUUCGAGUCCCGCCGGGCCCG